UGGCGGUCAAUUCGGUUGAUCAUCCUCAUAUUGAGGGGUGUGCGUGUCAGUGGGCAAUGGCUGCAAACAGCAGCCUUCUCGGUAGGCUAUGAAACCUGUUGGCAAGUCUAGGUUGCCCUUGGUGACUUUGGAAGCAACU
ensembl:snoRNA SNORA70 Small nucleolar RNA SNORA70